rnacentral:rRNA from 1 species
AACGAACGCUGGCGGCAGGCUUAACACAUGCAAGUCGAGCGCCCCGCAAGGGGAGCGGCAGACGGGUGAGUAACGCGUGGGAAUCUACCCAUCUCUACGGAAUAACGCAUGGAAACGUGUGCUAAUACCGUAUACGUCCUUCGGGAGAAAGAUUUAUCGGAGAUGGAUGAGCCCGCGUUGGAUUAGCUAGUUGGUGGGGUAAAGGCCUACCAAGGCGACGAUCCAUAGCUGGUCUGAGAGGAUGAUCAGCCACACUGGGACUGAGACACGGCCCAGACUCCUACGGGAGGCAGCAGUGGGGAAUAUUGGACAAUGGGCGCAAGCCUGGUCCAGCCAUGCCGCGUGAGUGAUGAAGGCCCUAGGGUUGUAAAGCUCUUUCACCGGUGAAGAUAAUGACGGUAACUGGAGAAGAAGCCCCGGCUAACUUCGUGCCAGCCGCCGCGGUAAGAC